UGUGAUGGCUCACAAAGCAAAACAGUGAUCUCCAGGAAGCAAGCAAGAUAGCAUCCAGACUGCUUGCAGUUAACCCAUCUCUGCCUGAACUAGAAAACUAUCUAUGAAAAUUGCAGAAUUAAAGUGUUAAGAAAGAUCACUGCUGGAAACUGUUGCUUCAGGGAAAGUGAAAAUAUUCUCGCAGUUAGAAGUCUUGAGGUACUCUCUCAAAGCAUUUCUGGAGUUCAAACCAGCAUACAGUCUAGCAAAGUCACUUUCUAAAAUAAGAUCUUUGAAAUAGGCAGUCUCUUGCUGUCCUGUCCUCUCCUGUUCUUCUUCUGCAAGUCAGAGAAAUCCCUCUCUAGCAAACUUGCUCCAUUUCUUCUGCAUUUUGCCUGGAUAACUCUCCUAGCAAUUCUCGUACCCAGUUCAGAAGUUGGCAAGAGGUGAGGAAUCGAGAGAGAGCUGGAUUUGCCACCAGAAUUUAGAUAAUGUUUUGCUGUAUGCUGGUAGGCUGCCUCAUGGCACCUGGCCUCACGGCAAGAACAGCCCCAGGGGUUCAUGUAGGCAUGGCAUUCAUGGGCCUGCAUAGUUGAAUCACCAGUCUGUCCAGCAAGACAUAACUUUAAUUACCAUAGAGGUCAUUAAAACUCAGCACCA